rnacentral:rRNA from 1 species
GACGAACGCUGGCGGCGUGCUUAACACAUGCAAGUCGAACGGAAAGGCCCUGCUUGCCGGGUACUCGAGUGGCGAACGGGUGAGUAACACGUGGGUGAUCUGCCCUGCACUUCGGGAUAAGCCUGGGAAACUGGGUCUAAUACCGGAUAGGAGCCAUUUUUAGUGUGAUGGUUGGAAAGUUUUUUUCGGUGUAGGAUGAGCUCGCGGCCUAUCAGCUUGUUGGUGGGGUAAUGGCCUACCAAGGCGGCGACGGGUAGCCGGCCUGAGAGGGUGGACGGCCACAUUGGGACUGAGAUACGGCCCAGACGCCUACGGGAGGCAGCAGUGGGGAAUAUUGCACAAUGGGCGCAAGCCUGAUGCAGCGACGCCGCGUGGGGGAUGACGGCCUUCGGGUUGUAAACUCCUUUCGCUAGGGACGAAGCUUUUUGUGACGGUACCUAGAGAAGAAGCACCGGCUAACUACGUG